GGCUUUUUAGUAUAAUUAUGGUAUAUUUGUUUUCCAAACAAAAGGUAAUUUUUAGCUA
rnacentral:tRNA from 1 species